rnacentral:lncRNA from 1 species
ACUAAUAAAAUAUCGAUACCAAACAAGCCCUAUAUAUACAAAUUUCAAAAGGCUUAAUUCUGAUGAAAAAAAAAAGCACGAGAUUUUUAAUCUCCUUCAACCACGUCUUGAUUUAUUUCAAAGUAAAAGACCACCAUUGUUCAAAGGUCUCUGUCACGAUUCAUACAUGCUUAACUUACUAUGUGGGAACUUACAUACCAGCAAAGCUAACACACACACACACAAACAAACUUUAGGAUAGUAAUUGGAUCAUACAACUUCACCAUGUUUCAUCUUGAAGUUGAAGCUAUGUUUAAAUUCACCAUAGAUACCUGAGGAAGAUUUUAAGCAACCAAAUAAUGACUUAAUAUAAAUGUAUGAAAGUGAAACCAUAGAAUAAGCAGAUUAAUAAUAAUAAUAAUAAUAAUAAUAAUAAUAAUAAUAAUAAUAAUGCACCUUUUUCCAAAUUCACUAAUGUUACGAUAUCCGUUGUAGAAGAUGAACCACAUCAAGACCACAACCAAGCUAUCUUAACAAACAGUCAAGUCAAACAAAAGAGAAAAAAAUGAAAUGACCUAAAUACCCUCACCUAAUGGUUGGGUUUCCAUCCCUGGUUCUAAAAAAAAGAAAAAAAAAAGAAGGAUAUGCCACAGGGACCAAAAGUGUAAUUUAAUCUAAAAGAUAAAGAUACUGAACAAAUAUCGCUCCCACCAGUCCAACAUGUAUAGCCCAAAUGUGACAUUGUAAAGGUAGAUUUUGCGUUGAACCCAAUUCAUAUUCCCUAAUAACCUGAGAGACAAUACACACACACACACACACACACACACACAAAAAAUGGUUAAAAGUGUUUUCAACAGCAUCAAAGGGGUAUUGAUGGAAAUAGUUAUUAUUAUUAUUCCAUUAAGGCACUUGAUAUGAAAUACCACCCAACCUUGCCCUUAAUUCAAUCUUUAUUUCGAAUCCUCUUGAGUAAAUGGUAUUAUGAAACAGGUGUUCAAAGUUUCAUUCCUCUUGGAUCUGUGUUUUGAAUUUUGAUAGUGAGUUAUGCCUAGUAAGUAAGUAGUAAUCUAUAUUUGUAUGAGUAUGAUUUUGGAGAAUGAUGAAAAUUAGGGUUUUAUUUAUUAUUUGGAUUGGAGUUUAUACGACACUAUUGAAUAAUUAUUUGUUUGUUGAAUGUGGGCCGUUACAGGAGGACCUUAAUACCAGUAUCUGUGAUUUCAAUUUCAGAUUAUGAGCCUGCAGAUAUAUCUAAAAAGAAGGCGAAUGAUACAAGUUUAAAGCAGCAGCUCUCUUACACUUGCUGUUAACAGAGAAAUAGCAUUACAAUUUACACUGACACAGAUCUGAAAGGGCAGGUGGAUGAUUUAACCUAAGUUUAUUCACAACUACAAUGAAAUCGAAUAAAAACGACGAAGUAGAUCCAAUCGAACAAACAACAAGUAGAGGCUACAACUAACCUAAAUAACUACAGAGAGCAACAUAUGACCGAAGAAAGUAAGUUAUCCCAAAGGAUCAUCAAAAAAGCUUCAAAAAAAAUAUAAUAAUUAAGGGGAAAAGAAUCGAUAACCUGAGAUAGGUGUGUUAAGAGUGGGGCGUCCAGCAGCACACCGAACCUGAAGGAAAUGAAAUUGGAGAACGUUUGACUUGGUCCUCCCGUCCUUAAUAUACAACAAUUACCCCAGUCCAACGUAAAUGAGACAGGGAAGGUAAGAUGGUAUGCCGCCCCAAGCUCCGGAAGAAGAUUCUGUCG